rnacentral:rRNA from 1 species
UACGGAGGGUGCAAGCGUUAUCCGGAUUCACUGGGUUUAAAGGGUGCGUAGGUGGUCGGGUAAGUCUGAUGUGAAAUCUCCGAGCUCAACUCGGAAAUGGCAUUGGAUACUACUUGGCUAGAGGGUUGGAGGGGGGACUGGAAUACUUGGUGUAGCAGUGAAAUGCGUAGAUAUCAAGUGGAACACCAGUGGCGAAGGCGAGUCCCUGGACAACUCCUGACACUGAGGCACGAAAGCUAGGGGAGCAAACAGG